rnacentral:lncRNA from 1 species
UCUGCACAUAUUCCCAAAAAUGGGUCGCUUUAUGAUAUUAUCGCAUCGUCAUCAUCUUCAUAUCCUACCCUUCCCACCCGUAAACGUCAUUUAAGCGUGUGGAUUGGUCACGAAAACUUAUUGCGUGCUAUUACCCAUCCCGUUCUAUAGAUACUAGAUGGCACUUAGGAUCACUAUUUCAAUAAGGUGGGGACUAGGCUGACCCCCUAGGUUCAAAUAUUAAAAUGCUAGGUGAUAUACAAGAACAAAUAGAACUUGCACAUAAGGGGAAUCAUAUAAGCAUGUAAAAGGCUCAAAUAUUCCUGUAUAGACGAACACAUAAUUAUCACGACUCAAACACAUUUAAGGUCUAAGGAAGGAAGAAUCUUUCGAAAACUGGAGUAUAGAUUAAAAUAGAAGUUUGGAAGUUUUGCAGA